GUGUGCAGGGCUCGCACCGAGCCGGAGCAGCCGCGCUGGAGCGCCUGGGCUCUGUCUAGCCCGCCGUGCCCGCUCCUCGCCGCCUCAGCCGCCGCCGACGCUGGGGGAGCUGCCGUCUAUUGUCUUUCACCGCGGCGAAGGUGCGGAGCGGCUUCGGCUCGGCGCUCGGGGGGAACCCCGGGAGCCGCAAGUAUCCUGGGUCCUG